CACGUAGGAGGCGAGCGUUAUCCGGAUUUACUGGGUGUAAAGCGCGUGCAGGCGGUUCAGAAAGUUGGAUGUGAAAGCUCCUGGCUUAACUGGGAGAGGUCGUUCAAUACUUCUGGACUCGAGUAUGGGAGAGGGAGGUGGAAUUCUGGGUGUAGUGGUGAAAUGCGUAGAUAUCCGGAGGAACACCAGUGGCGAAAGCGGCCUCCUGGUCCAUUACUGACGCUCAGACGCGAAAGCUAGGGUAGCAAACGGG
rnacentral:rRNA from 1 species